rnacentral:rRNA from 1 species
GAUGAACGCUGGCGGCGUGCCUAAUACAUGCAAGUCGAGCGAACGGACGAGAAGCUUGCUUCUCUGAUGUUAGCGGCGGACGGGUGAGUAACACGUGGAUAACCUACCUAUAAGACUGGGAUCACUUCGGGAAACCGUAGCUAAUACCGGAUAAUAUUUUGAACCGCAUGGUUCAAAAGUGAAAGACGGUCUUGCUGUCACUUAUAGAUGGAUCCGCGCUGCAUUAGCUAGUUGGUAAGGUAACGGCUUACCAAGGCAACGAUGCAUAGCCGACGUGAGAGGGUGAUCGCCCACACUGGAACUGAGACACGGUCCAGACUCCUACGGGAGGCAGCAGUAGGGAAUCUUCCGCAAUGGGCGAAAGCCUGACGGAGCAACGCCGCGUGAGUGAUGAAGGUCUUCGGAUCGUAAAACUCUGUUAUUAGGGAAGAACAUAUGUGUAAGUAACUGUGCACAUCUUGACGGUACCUAAUCAGAAAGCCACGGCUAACUACGUG